AGACCCGAAACCCGGUGAUCUAGCCAUGGGCAGGUUGAAGGUUGGGUAACACUAACUGGAGGACCGAACCGACUAAUGUUGAAAAAUUAGCGGAUGACCUGUGGCUGGGGGUGAAAGGCCAAUCAAACCGGGAGAUAGCUGGUUCUCCCCGAAAGCUAUUUAGGUAGCGCCUCGUGAAUUCAUCUCCGGGGGUAGAGCACUGUUUCGGCUAGGGGGCCAUCCCGGCUUACCAACCCGAUGCAAACUGCGAAUACCGGAGAAUGUUAUCACGGGAGACACACGGCGGGUGCUAACGUCCGUCGUGAAGAGGGAAACAACCCAGACCGCCAGCUAAGGUCCCAAAGUCAUGGUUAAGUGGGAAACGAUGUGGGAAGGCCCAGACAGCCAGGAUGUUGGCUUAGAAGCAGCCAUCAUUUAAAGAAAGCGUAAUAGCUCACUGGUCGAGUCGGCCUGCGCGGAAGAUGUAACGGGGCUAAACCAUGCACCGAAGCUGCGGCAGCGAACGUAUCACCCAAGACAACUUUGCGGAGUUGACGAUUGACGGAGCGAAGCGACGUCAAAGCGUUCAUUAAAGUCGAGUUGGCUUAGGGAUACGUUCGUUGGGUAGGGGAGCGUUCUGUAAGCCUGUGAAGGUGGCCUGUGAGGGUUGCUGGAGGUAUCAGAAGUGCGAAUGCUGACAUAAGUAACGAUAAAGCGGGUGAAAAGCCCGCUCGCCGGAAGACCAAGGGUUCCUGUCCAACGUUAAUCGGGGCAGGGUGAGUCGACCCCUAAGGCGAGGCCGAAAGGCGUAGUCGAUGGGAAACGGGUUAAUAUUCCCGUACUUGGUGUUACUGCGAAGGGGGGACGGAGAAGGCUAUGUUGGCCGGGCGACGGUUGUCCCGGUUUAAGCGUGUAGGUGUGUGUUCCAGGUAAAUCCGGUUCACUUUAACACUGAGGCGUGAUGACGAGGCACUACGGUGCUGAAGCAACAAAUGCCCUGCUUCCAGGAAAAGCCUCUAAGCAUCAGGUAACACGAAAUCGUACCCCAAACCGACACAGGUGGUCAGGUAGAGAAUACCAAGGCGCUUGAGAGAACUCGGGUGAAGGAACUAGGCAAAAUGGUGCCGUAACUUCGGGAGAAGGCACGCUGACACGUAGGUGAAGUGAUUUACUCAUGGAGCUGAAGUCAGUCGAAGAUACCAGCUGGCUGCAACUGUUUAUUAAAAACACAGCACUGUGCAAACACGAAAGUGGACGUAUACGGUGUGACGCCUGCCCGGUGCCGGAAGGUUAAUUGAUGGGGUCAGCGCAAGCGAAGCUCCUGAUCGAAGCCCCGGUAAACGGCGGCCGUAACUAUAACGGUCCUAAGGUAGCGAAAUUCCUUGUCGGGUAAGUUCCGACCUGCACGAAUGGCGUAAUGAUGGCCAGGCUGUCUCCACCCGAGACUCAGUGAAAUUGAACUCGCUGUGAAGAUGCAGUGUACCCGCGGCAAGACGGAAAGACCCCGUGAACCUUUACUAUAGCUUGACACUGAACAUUGAGCCUUGAUGUGUAGGAUAGGUGGGAGGCUUUGAAGUGUGGACGCCAGUCUGCAUGGAGCCGACCUUGAAAUACCACCCUUUAAUGUUU
rnacentral:rRNA from 1 species